UACUAAUACCGGAUAUUCUUGCUUUAUAUAAGUUUUGCAAGCAAAGGUGGCCUCUGACAUAAGCUACUGCAUGAAGAGGGGUCUGCGUACCAUUAGCUUGUAGGUGGGGUAAUGGCCUACCUAGGCAACGAUGGUUAGCGGGUCUGAGAGGAUGAUCCGCCACACUGGCACUGGAACACGGGCCAGACUCCUACGGGAGGCAGCAGUGAGGAAUAUUGCGCAAUGGGGGCAACCCUGACGCAGCGACGCCGCGUGAGUGAGGAAGGCCUUCGGGUCGUAAAGCUCUGUCAAAGGGAAAGAAAUGUAUAAUGGCUAAUACCUGUUAUAUUUGACGGUACCCUUAAAGGAAGUACCGGCUAACUCCGUGCCAGCAGCCGCGGUAAUACGGAGGGUGCAAGCGUUGUUCGGAAUUACUGGGCGUAAAGGGCGCGUACGCGGUUUGAUAAGUCAGAUGUGAAAGCCCACGGCUUAACUGUGGAAGUGCAUUUGAUACUGUCAGACUUGAGUACCAGAGGGGAAAGUGGAAUUCCCGGUGUAGAGGUGAAAUUCGUAGAUAUCGGGAGGAAUACCGGUGGCGAAGGCGACUUUCUGGCUGGAUACUGACGCUGAGGCGCGAAAGCGUGGGGAGCAAACAGGAUUAGAUACCCUGGUAGUCCACGCUGUAAACGAUGUCCACUAGAUGUAGGGGGUGUUGAUCCCUUCUGUGUCGCAGCUAACGCAUUAAGUUGAC
rnacentral:rRNA from 1 species